rnacentral:rRNA from 1 species
AUACGUAGGGUGCGAGCGUUAAUCGGAAUUACUGGGCGUAAAGCGUGCGCAGGCGGUUUUGUAAGACAGGCGUGAAAUCCCCGAGCUCAACUUGGGAAUGGCGCUUGUGACUGCAAGGCUAGAGUAUGUCAGAGGGGGGUAGAAUUCCACGUGUAGCAGUGAAAUGCGUAGAGAUGUGGAGGAAUACCGAUGGCGAAGGCAGCCCCCUGGGACGUCACUGACGCUCAUGCACGAAAGCGUGGGGAGCAAACAGGAUUAGAUACCCUGGUAGUCCACGCCCUAAACGAUGUCAACUAGUUGUUGGGGAUUCAUUUCUUCAGUAACGUAGCUAACGCGUGAAGUUGACCGCCUGGGGAGUACGGUCGCAAGAUUAAA